rnacentral:lncRNA from 1 species
UCCACCGCUAAGAGUUGUCUGGCUUUCGGGCACCGCUCUCACGCCCAGCGGCCCUCGCUUUUGGCAUCUGGCGCCGAGGACGCGCGGACGCGGCCCGGCUUCGACCGUACGAGCACACAACGGAGAGAAAGAAAGAAAAGAGCCAGCGGGAGGAACCCGCGCUCCGAAGGCCGGCCCCAGAAGGCCGGGGAGCGCCCCGCCCCGACCGCCUCCCCCCCACCGCGGGGAAGACGCCGACCUCACGUGCCGUCCCUCGGAGGCGGCCCAGGCGCCCGGGCUCGGCCCGGCCUCCCGCGGAGGGCCGGGCGGCGCGCGCCGGAACGCGGGGGGCACGGCGGCCCGCCCGCUCGCUUUCACGGGACGACGCAACGGCAACGACCCCCCACACGCACGCGGCCGGGGCGCGGCCGUCGGCCCCGCACGCGCCGGCUUCCCUCCUCGGCCCCGCCGCGGGCUCGCGCGAGCGCGCCGCCGCGCCGCCGCGCGGCCGGCUCUCUCUCCCCAGCGGCCUUCCCGAUCCCCGCUCGAGACGGCACGCGACGACCGCCCGGCCCGCCGGCGCGCCUCCCGCGGGACCGCUCCCGCCAGGCGGGCGAGCGCCCCGGCGGACGCGCUCCGCCGCCGGCCCCGGAGGCGGACGCCACCGAGACCCGAGCCGGCGUCGCCAGCGCCCGAGGCCCGCCGGACGGCGGGACCCCGCCGCCGCCGGGGCCGCACUCCCGGGACCGCCGCCGCCUCGCACCGUCGUGGGCCCCUCGCCUCGGGCACGCGCCCGGCGGAAGGCGUACGGCGCUGAGCCGGGGGCAACGCCCGCUCUCCUCGCUCUCGCGCGGAGACCGGGCGGGGAAGCGCCCCGCGGCCGCCCGCACGCCUUCCCUUCGGCCCACACGCGGCCGCGGCGACGGACGGAGGACGCGACGAGCGGGGCCGGGCCGGGACCGCCGCCGGCGACGGCGGGCGCCUUCCGGCGGACCGUCCCCGCAGGGGAAAGUGGGGACACCCGUCGAGCGGCGCCGCCGCCCGCUCGGCACGGGGUCGCCCGCGCCUCGCGGGCCUCCGCCGACGGAGGGCCCGCCGAGCGCCCCCCCGGGCGGGCGGGCGGUCGAGCCAGGGACGGCCGGCGGACGGCGCCCGCCGGUGCCUUCGAGGAGGAAAGAAAAGGCCGUCGAGGGGGAGAGGGGCCGGCCGCGCCGGACGCGGCGCCAAGCGCCGCACGCGAGACCGCGGCGGCGGCGGCCGAGGAAGAGAGCGCUGGCGGGCCCCGGCGGCCGCGACGCGCGAGGAAGGAGCAGAGAGAGAGCGCGCGCUCUUCUCUCUGCCGGCGUCGCCCGUUACGACGAGGCGAGCGGGUCGGCCCCGCGGCCGACCGCGCGCCGCGGCCUCUCCGCCGAGGCCGGGCCACGGAGAGAGGGGGCAGGGCGCCCCUCCCCGGCGCGGCGCGGUUACCCCGCAGCGCGCGGCGGGACGACGACGACGACGACGACGACGGAGGAGCGCGGCCGGUGGCGACGGACACCACCGCAGGGGAUCGGCGGGAGUAGCUGCUCCCCCACCCCUCAGUGGCGCCGCACCACCGCCCGGCAACACCUGCCGCCCGCCCGCCCGCCGCACCGCCCGCCCGCCACGGCGGGCCGCGCCGAGCCGCCCGAGUCUUUAAACCGCCGCCCCGGCUCGCCCGGCCCUUUCGGCCCCCCGCAACAGCGUUUGGCGACGCCGACGGGAAAACCUGGGGGACCGCCGAGGCGCGGAGCGCUAGGUACCUGGCCCUGGGGCGAGGGAAACGACCUGCAUGGCCCCGCCGGGCGUGCCCCCCCUCGCUGCCGCCCUCGGGGAGCGUCCACCGGCGGGGCGCACCCGGCGUCUGCCGCCACCACCGCGGCGUCCUUUCUCGGGGCCGGGGUUUCCCUCAGUAACCCGGCGCUGCGCCCGAGAGGACGGCCGCGGCUCGGGCCGCCCCGCCGGCGCGGGGGACCCGGCCCGACCGCCCAGCGACCUCGCGCGCGCGCGCGCGCCAGCGCCGGGCGCGGCCGGAACGCCCGGAGGGGCUCGGCCCUCGGGGGGUUUCCCUCUGCCGCGCCAAGCCGGCUCGGCCCGAGAACGGGACUCUGCCGGCCGCGGCAAAGCCCCGCUCCCCGGUGCGGGGAAGGGCCGGAGGAGCCGCCUCCUCCGAGCCCCGAAGGCGCCCCGCCACCCGCUCCCUCGCCAUUGCCACAUCGGCCGCCGACGCGGCGCCAGCGGCGGGACGGCCGGCCGCGGCUUCGGCGGGCGGCGGCGAGGGAGGGACGGGCGCGCGCCUCCGGGAGGGCCGUGCCGGGCACCCCUCCCUCCCGGCACCCGGGCGGCUUCUCGCGCACAGCGAGGAAGAGAGCCGGGCUCGGGAGAACUUCGGGCCGCGCCAGGGCGGCGCCAGCGCGCUCGCCGGCGACCGGCGUUGGCGGCGCCGGCCGCGGCGGCGAGGGGCUCGGGGCCGGCCGGCUUUCCCCGCUCUCCGGCGGGGACGGACCGGCGGCAGACCCGGCGCAAGGCGGGAGGCGGGGAAAAAGAAGCGGGGGAAAGACAGGCCGCCGCGACGGCGGCGAGCCGCGCCGAGGCCGGCCGCGCGCAGCGGUGUAG